GACGAACGCUGGCGGCGUGCUUAACACAUGCAAGUCGAACGGUGAAGCUCCAGCUUGCUGGAGUGGAUCAGUGGCGAACGGGUGAUUAACACGUGAGCAACCUGCCCCUGACUCUGGAAUAAGCGCUGGAAACGGCGUCUAAUACUGGAUACGAGAAGGGUCCGCAUGGGCACUUUCUGGAAAGUUUUUCGGUUGGGGAUGGGCUCGCGGCCUAUCAGCUUGUUGGUGAGGUAAUGGCUCACCAAGGCGACGACGGGUAGCCGGCCUGAGAGGGCGACCGGCCACACUGGGACUGAGACACGGCCCAGACUCCUACGGGAGGCAGCAGUGGGGAAUAUUGCACAAUGGGCGAAAGCCUGAUGCAGCGACGCCGCGUGAGGGAUGACGGCCUUCGGGUUGUAAACCUCUUUCAGCAGGGAAGAAGCGAAAGUGGCGGUACCUGCAGAAGAAGCACCGGCUAACUACGUG
rnacentral:rRNA from 1 species